rnacentral:rRNA from 1 species
AGCGUAAUCCCUUGCCCUUUAAUUGGGGGCCAGUAUGAAUGGACCCACGGAAGCGGAGCUGUCUCUAUAGAGCCAAUAAAAACUACCAUUUAGAUGAAAAGGCCUAAAUCACGUAAAAAGACAAAAAGACCCUGUAGAGCUUCACUCACACCCCGGCACCCGCACAAUAAUUUAUACGCCCGCCCCGGCUAAAAGUUUUGUUGGGGCGACACAGGACCAACCAAAACGUCCUCUUUCCAUCAAGACCAUAAGUCCUCUAAUGACCCGUAACAAUCGCUCAAAAAACAUAGCUACCUCAGGGAUAACAGACCAAUCCCCCUCAAGAGUCCGAAUCGACAGGGGGGCUUGGCACCUCGAUGUUGGCUUAGGGCCCCCAAUUAAGUGCAGCAGCUUCUUUGGCUGGUUUGUUCAACCUUUAAAU